GACGAACGCUGGCGGCGUGCUUAACACAUGCAAGUCGAACGGAAAGGCCCUGCUUUUGUGGGGUGCUCGAGUGGCGAACGGGUGAGUAACACGUGAGUAACCUGCCCUUGACUUUGGGAUAACUUCAGGAAACUGGGGCUAAUACCGGAUAGGAGCUCCUGCUGCAUGGUGGGGGUUGGAAAGUUUCGGCGGUUGGGGAUGGACUCGCGGCUUAUCAGCUUGUUGGUGGGGUAGUGGCUUACCAAGGCUUUGACGGCUAGCCGGCCUGAGAGGGUGACCGGCCACAUUGGGACUGAGAUACGGCCCAGACUCCUACGGGAGGCAGCAGUGGGGAAUAUUGCACAAUGGGCGGAAGCCUGAUGCAGCAACGCCGCGUGCGGGAUGACGGCCUUCGGGUUGUAAACCGCUUUCGCCUGUGACGAAGCGUGAGUGACGGUGAUGGGUAAAGAAGCACCGGCUAACUACGUG
rnacentral:rRNA from 1 species